rnacentral:rRNA from 1 species
CAAUCUCAGUUCAGACUGCAGGCUGCAACUCGCCUGCACGAAGUCGGAAUUGCUAGUAAUCGUAGGUCAGCACACUACGGUGAAUACGUUCCCGGGCCUUGUACACACCGCCCGUCAAACCAUGAGAGUUGGCAACACCCGAAGUCGGUAGUCUAACCGCAAGGAGGACGCCGCGAAGGUGGGGUUGAUGAUUAGGGUUAAGUCGUAACAAGGUAAC